UAGCAAUCAGCGAGACUCUGUGGGCGUAGGACCCUCCGAGCCAGGUGCAAGAUAUAAUCUUGUGGUGCGCCGUUUUUUAAGCCCGUCGGAAAAGCGCAGUAUUCAGGUGGGAGUGACCCGAUUUUCGGGAACUCCCUGACCCUUGCGCUUCCCGAGUGAGGCAAUGCUUUGCCCUGCUUCGGCUCGCGCACGGUGCGUGCACCCAAUGACCUGUGCCCACUGUCUGGCACUCCCUAGUGAGAUGAACCCGGUACCUCAGAUGGAAAUGCAGAAAUCACCCGUCUUCUGCGUCGCUCACGCUGGGAGCUGUAGACCGGAGCUGUUCCUAUUCGGCCAUCUUGGCUCCCAAAUCCCAGGAGACACUCCAGUUCAAGGACAGCAAGGAGUGACUACAGAUCAAAAAGAAAGCUAGAAGCAAGCAAGCAAGGAAGAAAUGAGGAAAAAAGGCA
rnacentral:lncRNA from 1 species